AGGUUAAGCUAAUAAGAGCGUAUGGUGGAUGCCUAGGCGCUAGGAGCCGAAGAAGGACGGAGCGAACGCCGAAACGCCACGGGGAGCUGUAAGCAAGCAUUGAGCCGUGGAUAUCCGAAUGGGGGAACCCAGUAUCCGUAAUGGGAUACUACCCAUA
rnacentral:rRNA from 1 species